rnacentral:rRNA from 1 species
GAUGAACGCUGGCGGCGUGCCUAAUACAUGCAAGUCGAGCGAACAGACGAGGAGCUUGCUCCUCUGACGUUAGCGGCGGACGGGUGAGUAACACGUGGAUAACCUACCUAUAAGACUGGGAUAACUUCGGGAAACCGGAGCUAAUACCGGAUAAUAUAUUGAACCGCAUGGUUCAAUAGUGAAAGACGGUUUUGCUGUCACUUAUAGAUGGAUCCGCGCCGCAUUAGCUAGUUGGUAAGGUAACGGCUUACCAAGGCAACGAUGCAUAGCCGACCUGAGAGGGUGAUCGGCCACACUGGAACUGAGACACGGUCCAGACUCCUACGGGAGGCAGCAGUAGGGAAUCUUCCGCAAUGGGCGAAAGCCUGACGGAGCAACGCCGCGUGAGUGAUGAAGGUCUUCGGAUCGUAAAACUCUGCUAUUAGGGAAGAACAAAUGUGUAAGUAACUAUGCACGUCUUGACGGUACCUAAUCAGAAAGCCACGGCUAACUACGUG